rnacentral:hammerhead_ribozyme from 1 species
ACCCGACUGAAGAGUCCAAAAUAGGACGAAAUGCGCUCCCUGGAU